rnacentral:rRNA from 1 species
AUCGAUUUAGCCAUGCUAGUCGCACGAGUUCAGACUCGUGGCGAAUAGCUCAGUAACACGUGGCCAAACUACCCUUCGGACUACAAUACCCUCGGGAAACUGAGGCUAAUAGUAGAUACCACAGUCCACCUGGAAUGAGGACUGUGCUAAAUGCUCCGGCGCCGAAGGAUGUGGCUGCGGCCGAUUAGGUAGACGGUGGGGUAACGGCCCACCGUGCCAAUAAUCGGUACGGGUCAUGAGAGUGAGAACCCGGAGACGGAAUCUGAGAAAAGAUUCCGGGCCCUACGGGGCGCAGCAGGCGCGAAACCUUUUCUCUGCACGACAUGCGAUAAGGGAAACCCAAGUGCGUAGGCAUAGAGCCUACGCUUUUGUCCACCGUAAGGAGGUGGACGAAAAAGGGCUGGGCAAGAACGGUGCCAGCCGCCCCGGUAUAACGGCACCCGAGUGAUGGGCGAUCUUAUUUGGCCUAAAGCGUCCGUAGCUGGGCGCACAAGUCCAUCGGAAAAAACCCACCCCCCUCCACCGGGGGGGCGUCCGGGGGGAAAAAUGUUGUUGGGUUUGGGACCGGAAGGGGGCGACGGGGUACCUCCCGGGGGGAGGAAGAGGAAAUCCCUGUUAUUCCUGGAACGGAACGCCCCAAUGGGGAAAGCACCUUCCCGAGAACCGGAUUCCAACAGUGAGGGGACGAAAAGCUAGGGUCUUCCA